ensembl:lncRNA
GUGAAGAAGAGAGGCUUCAUUACAGACAGAUCGCCCCCGCAUGGUGUGGGAAAGCCUCCACCAAUCUGGCGAGGCCUUACUAGAACCAACCCAAUAAAAGCCAGUGUUCCGGCGGCAGCGCUCCUUUGGGUUGCACCUCUUCCUGGAGUCUGCGGUCUGUAGUCCUACUCCGUCAGAUUGGGAUUCACCAAGCCUCCACAAUCAUGAGUUCCUAUCUGGAAAAAAAUUGGAAAUUCUGUAUGUUCAUUUCAAUGCCCUACAUUCCAGGGCCUUAUCUUCCUUGCAUCUAUUGACUUUAUACUACAUGUUAGAAAUGGUCUCUUGCCAAGUGGUUAGGAAAGUGAGGAAGAAAGAAGUGGAAUAAGUCAUCCAGGAUCAUAUUUCUGAUAACAUAUUGAAGUUACUUUUUGGCCCUUUCUGUUUGGGAUAAAGACCAUCAUUGACUUUGGGAUACUGAAGGAUCAGAUGUUACCAUGCCAAAUGGGAAAUAGUGAUCUUCUUAUCCAGAAAUUAAUUGCCUUUUAUAAAACAAAUAC